AUAUACACGGCACAACCCUGGAGGAUGCACUACACAAUGAUAAUUCUUGCAUUAAGCUUUAAGGAGAUGACAGUUAUUUUGUUGCCCUCGACAUCUCGAUGACCAUUGAGUACAUCCAUACAAAAAAUGUCAUCCAUCAAGAUUUAAAGCCACCCAAAAUUCUGAUCGACCAGUUCUCAAAAAAGGCUGUACUGACAGUCUGGGGCUUUGUCAACAUCAGAGACACGGUUGUACUAUGACAAGGAAGCAGACUUACUGGAGGAGGAAUAGGGCCAAUGGGUGGUACCUUUCUUUAUAUGGCCCCAGAGUGUCUGAUUGAAUUUGAACAGGCUUCCAGAAUGUCUGUCAUCUGGUCUCUGAGAGCAACAUACCAGGAGAUUUUCACGAAAUAAGUGCCAUGGACAUUGAAAAACCAAAGAUAGGUGUGCAGUCUAAUCUCCAAAAAGGUGCCACCACAUGCUUUACAACAUCUGAGUGACAAGAAUCAGUUUAUUGGUACAAUGUUACACUAUGAUGCAGCAUCGAGACCCAAAGCUUCUUUUGUGGUGCUGUCCCUAAAAACAGUGGAGGGGCCAGAUUUAAAGAGCCGUUAUGGUUACGAAUGGUAAAUGUUACAGAUUAUCACUUGGACAGUAACAUUUAUUGUAAUUUUCAGUUUGUAGUACAAAUACCAAUGUUGGUAAAAUGUUUACAUUAUAAUCACAGCUGUUCUCUCUCUGUCUAACACUGCUGGUAUGUUUCAUUAUUUGUUUCAAUGUAUGUUCACAUCA